GGAGAAGAAUAGAGUGGAGUGGAGUGGAGUGGAGUGGAGUGGAGUGGAGUGGAGUGGAGUGGAGUGGAGUAGAGUAGAACAGUUCAGUUGGAGGGGGCCUUCAGUGAUCAUCCACUCCAACUGCCUCAUCACUUC
rnacentral:miRNA from 12 species